UACAGAGGCCUCGAGCGUUUAGGCGGAAUCACUGGGCUUAAAGCGUGUGUAGGCGGACUUCUAAGUACCUUGUGAAAUCCCACGGCUCACCCGUGGAACUGCUGGGUAUACUGGUCGUCUUGAGCCUUCUAGGGGCUACCGGAACAAAUGGUGGAGCGGUGAAAUGCGUAGAUAUCAUUGGAACGCCAAUGGUGAAAACAGGUAGCUGGGGAAGUGCUGACGCUGAGACACGAAAGCCAGGGGAGCGAACGGG
rnacentral:rRNA from 1 species